GUGGAGGCAGGUCCUUGGACUGCAGGCUGAGGCUUUUUCCCCCCACGAGCGGUUUGGGCCCUCCAGGAGUCCGUGCGCGGGGGUCACGUGGAUUACGCUACGGUUCCCCUGGCGCCUCGACCCUCCUUUGAAGAGUCAUUCUAGAAGGCUGUAUUGCGAUACUGUUUGUACCUGUCACUGUGAGCCCUGAAAAGAGAAGAAAACGCGAGUGCCUGGCCUGAGGGUGCUCCGUCCCGUG
rnacentral:lncRNA from 1 species